rnacentral:rRNA from 2 species
GACGAACCGUGCGAACGUUGUUCGGAAUCACUGGGCUUAAAGGGCGCGUAGGCGGGUGACCAAGUCAGGGGUGAAAUCUUUCGGCCCAACCGGAAAAGUGCCUCUGAUACUGGUCGUCUUGAGGGAGGUAGGGGUCGAGGGAACUGGUGGUGGAGCGGUGAAAUGCGUAGAUAUCACUAGGAACGCCGGUGGCGAAAGCGCUCGACUGGACCUCUUCUGACGCUGAGGCGCGAAAGCCAGGGGAGCAAACGGG